UCCCUGGUAGCCCAAACGGUAAAGCGUCUGCCUGCAAUGCAGAAGACCAGGGUUCAAUCCCUGGGUCGGGAA
rnacentral:tRNA from 1 species